rnacentral:rRNA from 1 species
AGAGAGAGACAUGCGCGCAUAUCAAUAAGCGGAGGAAAAGAAACUAACAAGGAUUCCCUAGUAACGGCGAGUGAAGCGGGAAGAGCUCAAAUUUGAAAUCUUAAAGGUUUUCCCUUGACGAAUUGUAGUUUAAAGAAGUGUUUUCUGUUGAAGUUUCGGUAAAAGUUCUUUGGAAUAGGACAUCAUAGAGGGUGAGAAUCCCGUAUUUGACCUUUACUUUCAACUUUGUGAUACACUUUCAAAGAGUCGGAUUGUUUGGGAAUGCAGUCCAAAAUGGGUGGUAAAUUUCAUCUAAAGCUAAAUAUUGGCGAGAGACCGAUAGCGAACAAGUACCGUGAGGGAAAGAUCGAAAAGAACUUUGAAAAGAGAGUUAAACAGUACGUGAAAUUGUCAAAAGGGAAGCGUUUGACACCAGUGUUGUUUUUCUGAAAAUCAAUUAAAGAACUGUUUAUGCUAAGCUUGUUUAGACUUUAUCAGCUAACUGUUUAGUUUUGAGCUUUUCUUUAAUGCACUUUUCAGUUAACAAGUCAACAUCAAUUUCUUUUGCUGUAAAAAAGCUUGAGGAAGGUGGCUUGAGAUUCGUCUUAAGUGUUUAUAGCCUCUUGCCUAUGCAGUCGGAGAGAUUGAGGUCCUGCAGCGUAGAUCCUUCGGGGCUAAAUGCAUUUGUGCUAAGUUAUAGCAUUUUAUAGACAACUUGUUGACUAUGAUUUGUCUUGUAGCUUACUCGCUUAUGUUAUUUUACCUACGCUUAGGAUGUUGAGCGCAUGUCUCUCUCU